rnacentral:lncRNA from 1 species
AACCGGAGGGAAACUCAAUGCACAGACCCUGAUUUGCAACUUGUAAUGUAAAUCAACUCAACUGCAUCAUGUACUUACCAGCCACCUUCUCCCAACUGUGGCCGGGGCCGAGAAGCAGCAUGUUCUGUCCAUCUGUAAAAGGCCUUCUUUCUCUCUUAAGACGUCACAACUGGUUGUUACUGAGAACUUUAGAAAAACGACUAGAUCGUUUGGCUCUUUCUGGGCCUUCCACCUACACUCCAUGCCCUCUCUCCUCCCAAGAAAACACGAAUUAAAAUACAGGGAGUAUCAACCGCAUCCUGCCAACACCUCAUAAGACUCCAAGGCUUUACCGAGAUCUUCCACCUUCCCCGGGAUAAAUGAAGACAAGUGCUUCCUAGAAUCUUUAUGGUGAUGGAAAAGAUAUACUAAAAGAAGACAGAUCAGUCUCUCUCCUGAUAAGAAGAGUCACCAAGAGGAACAUCUGCAACAACUAGACAGAUGCUGCUACAAAGAGACCAAUCAACAACUGCUCAGCAGAGAUACAGAUCUGAAGCACAGAAGUGCAAUAGACCUUCCUGAUGCCUUCGCCAGGAGCAUGGAAUUCUUCCCAGAGUCACAGAAGAUGGCACAGCCUGGGGACAAUUGGGAAUCACCUGGAGGAUGGCAGACAACACGAACCUGCAAGUAAUCAUCCGACCAACUUCCUCUACUGCUUGGGAAUUGCAGGUUGUAUAAUCUUGGGAGGUCACUUCAACUAUACAAUUGGACUAAGAACACUGACUCUCGUGGGUGUUAUAAUUAAAUCAGAAUGCCAUAUUGGUUUCCAAGCAGACAUAAGCUGGCGAUGACUUUUUUGUACAAAAGUUACUGAUGAAAAGCUCAUAGAGGCAUUUGGAUUUCUUCAGGGUUGUAAAUCCAGGUAUGUUACUACUUUAUCUACUGGAAAUUGGGGUAAUGCAGGAGAUGGGAAAGCAUGAUGUUAAAUCAACUGGUGACCCCAAAUAAUUUUCCAUGGUGUUCAUCAGCCAUGCACACACUGUAUUACUGUCAUCAUUCCUAGCUUUUCCACUAUGCUGUCUCAAGUUUGCACAAAUUGUAAGUGAUUUUAAAUCAUUAACUGAUGUGACAUAAUCAAAUUACUUAGGGUUUUAUUUACUGUGCUCCGAGUAAUUCAGUUAUGACUUGGCAAGGUAUUUAACAGACAAUAGUGAAGUUACUACAAAUUCAACUUUGCAUUGGACAACUCCAUUUGAGGAUACCACCACCUUCAAAUUAACAAUUCCAGAAACUGGUCUCAGUAUCUCGUUCCAACAACAAGCAUCACCCACUACAAUAAAAACAGCAAGUAGAAUCUUUUUACUUCUUUUGUGUUUCUCAUCUCGGCAAACUGCACUACAAUCUACCAAACUGCCCGAGCCAGAAACCUAGAGGUCAGGCUGGAUUUUCCUGAGGACAUGAGGUGAAGAAGCAACCACUGCGAAGUACUAAGGGACUCAGAAUCAUGAACCACAGUUUGCAGAGAGAUCUGAUUUUUACAUGUUUGUUUGUGUGUGGCUUUAAGUAAUGUAAGUCAAUUA